CCCUUAGAUGUUCUGGGCCGCACGCGUGCUACACUGAGUGGAUCAGCGGGUCAGGUUGCGCGAAAGCGUUCCUAAUCUUUAAAUCCGCUCGUGAUGGGGAUUGACGGUUGCAAUUUUCUGUCAUGAACGAGGAAUACCUUGUAAGCGCGGGUCAUCAUCCCGCGCUGAAUACGUCCCUGCCCUUUGUACACACCGCCCGUCGCUCCUACCGAUUGAGUGGUCCGGUGAGGCUUUGGGAUCUGAGCGGAAAGAGCGUUUCGCUGUUUCUGCUCGGAAAACUCAGUCGAACCUUAUCAUUUAGAGGAAGGAUAAGUCGUAACA
rnacentral:rRNA from 1 species